UAAUACGGGGGGAGCAAGCGUUGUUCGGAUUUACUGGGCGUAAAGGGCGCGUAGGCGGCGCCGCAAGUCACUUGUGAAAUCUCCGGGCUCAACUCGGAACGGCCAAGUGAUACUGCGGUGCUAGAGUGCGGAAGGGGCAACUGGAAUUCUUGGUGUAGCGGUGAAAUGCGUAGAUAUCAAGAGGAACACCUGCGGCGAAGGCGGGUUGCUGGGCCGACACUGACGCUGAGGCGCGAAAGCUAGGGGAGCGAACGGGAUUAGAUACCCCGGUAGUCCUAGCCUUAAACGAUGAAUGCUUGGUGUCCGGAGUUAGAUAGUCUCCGGGUGCCGUCGCUAACGCUUUUAGCAUUCCGCCUGGGGAGUACGGUCGCAAGACUG
rnacentral:rRNA from 1 species